CCACCCUCAGGCCCUGCUGUGCCUGGCGUUGGGGCUCUCUGCGGGACCCGUCCCGCAGGCCCUCAAGACCAGUGGCGGGCUCGUCCGGACUCCGAGCGCAGUAGUUUUCUCCUCGCUCAGGGAGCUCCAGGCGGGUCUUGCCGUUAAAACCCCCUAAAUAUUUAGAA
rnacentral:misc_RNA from 1 species